GGGGAAUAUUGGACAAUGGGCGAAAGCCUGAUCCAGCAAUGCCGCGUGAGUGAAGAAGGCCUUAGGGUUGUAAAGCUCUUUCGCCUGCGACGAUGAUGACGGUAGCAGGAGAAGAAGCCCCGGCUAAUUCCGUGCCAGCAGCCGCGGUAAUACGGAAGGGGCUAGCGUUGUUCGGAAUUACUGGGCGUAAAGCGCGCGUAGGCGGCUUGGCAAGUGAGGCGUGAAAGUCCUGGGCUCAACCUGGGGACGGCGCUUCAGACUGCUUGGCUUGAGUCCGGAAGAGGGUGGUGGAAUUCCGAGUGUAGAGGUGAAAUUCGUAGAUAUUCGGAGGAACACCGGUGGCGAAGGCGGCCACCUGGUCCGGAACUGACGCUGAAGUGCGAAAGCGUGGGGAGCAAAC
rnacentral:rRNA from 1 species